UAGUUGGUGAGGUAAUGGCUCACCAAGGCGACGAUCAGUAGCUGGUCUGAGAGGAUGAUCAGCCACAUUGGGACUGAGACACGGCCCAAACUCCUACGGGAGGCAGCAGUGGGGAAUAUUGGACAAUGGGCGCAAGCCUGAUCCAGCCAUGCCGCGUGAGUGAUGAAGGCCCUAGGGUUGUAAAGCUCUUUUGUGCGGGAAGAUAAUGACGGUACCGCAAGAAUAAGCCCCGGCUAACUUCGUGCCAGCAGCCGCGGUAAUACGAAGGGGGCUAGCGUUGCUCGGAAUCACUGGGCGUAAAGGGCGCGUAGGUGGUUUGAUAAGGGUGUGGUGAAAGUCCGGGGCUCAACCCCGGAUCUGCCGUGCCGACUGUCAAACUCGAGGGCUGUAGAGGCAGACGGAAUUCCGGGUGUAGCGGUGGAAUGCGUAGAGAUCCGGAGGAAGACCGGUGGCGAAGGCGGUCUGCUGGGCAGUUUCUGACACUGAGGCGCGACAGCGUGGGGAGCAAACAGGAUUAGAUACCCUGGUAGUCCACGCCGUAAACGAUGGGUACUAGGUGCCUGGGGGAGCGACCCUCUGGGUGCCGGCGCUAACGCAGGAAGUACCCCGCCUGGGGAGUACGACCGCAAGGUUGAAACUCAAAGGAAUUGACG
rnacentral:rRNA from 1 species